rnacentral:lncRNA from 1 species
CCAAUAAGUUUCAUUCUGAGUCUGCUUUGCUUCAUUCCUAAACUACUGAGUUGACUUCUUGAAUUCAAUUACUAGAUGCACUGGUGGAAUUAUUAGUCUUAUGGGAGUUGUCCCGCGCCUUGCUAGCCCUAGUUCUAUUCUACUAGGGCACUGUGGAAGUCUUUGAUUUAGUGGUUUGAUUCUUCACUAUUGAUACCACUGGGUUAAGGCUUAGUGGCACUGGGUUAAGGCUUGUAGUUAGUGAUUGAAUUCUUAGAGAUCAGAUCCCUCUCCGCGUGCUUAGCCUUGCUCACCCUAAGUUCUAUUCCUUUAAUGACUAGCUUCUAGAUAGCUAUAACCAGUUAAGAACUAGUCCUGUGCCCUUAAGUAAUUGGUUACGCGGCAGUAGAUGUGUUCGCUGGUUCCAUUCUUUACUUAGUAGUUUGAGUUCUAUUCUUCAAUAGUUACCUGGCUGAUAGCUAAUUUCUCAUAUCUCCUCUGAUCUUGUAUGGCUCGGCUACUAUACCUAAGUCACCUAAUUCUUCUUUCUUAACUUCAAUUCAAGUCCACCAAGCGUAUACUAACGAGUGGAAUGAAGACCUUUGAACUUAGUGCUUUCCUUUUGCUUACUUAUUUGCUGACUUAGUAGUGGAAUU